ACUAUUUAACUAUCCUCAGGUUGGAAUCUGUCAUCAUCGAGCUGGAGCGCCAGCGAGAACCAGUGGUUGUUAUAUCCCACCAGGCCGUACUGCGAGCGCUCUACUCGUAUUUUGGCGACAGGCCUUUGAGGGAAGUUCCAGACAUGGAGAUGCCACUCCAUACCAUAAUC